AAAGGUUAAAACACAUGAGAUAAAAUCCUGGUCCACUGGAACUGAUUUUUAAAGUAUUUUCAGUCAAAUAUGAAGCUAUAAGCCAUUUAAAAAUAAAUGCUUUGAAUAUUCCAAGACUUUUUAAAGCAACCUGUAUUUUUUUUUGAUGUGUGGUGCAACUGCAGUCUGUUAUGCACACUCCCAAUGACUGUGUUGUUCACAGGGCAUUCAUUAUAACUGUAUUUUCAGCUGUUUAUUUCAACAGGUAUUAAAGUUAAUGUAAAGGCCUCAUGAGAAGUGAGGUUUUUUAAAUAGUUGUCAACCCCUUUGAUGAAGUAUAUCAGAGGCAGACAGUGGCAAAAAAAGGCUUUUAAAGCAGAAAACCAUUAACGUUGUCUAUUACUUGUGCAAUAUUCCUAAACAUUUCCAAGCCCCAUUGCCAGAUCUGUCCCUGCCACACCUACCAAGCGUGCCAGAUUGGGCCCACUGGUAGGAUUCAGCCCACAGAUGGACCUGGCACUGCCCAUCCAGCCUGUGGGAUGAAAAGGUUGGGCACUAGUGAUGCAGAACAUGGCCUAGGAUGUUUGGUGAAGCAAAUAUUCAAUGGAAAAAAAAACAUUUCCUUGUUCACUCUGCUACUUGAUCCUCUCUGCUUCUAUAGCCCCAUCUCUCCAUCCUCCUCCAAAAGCUUCUCUCUCUCUCUGUCAGUUUACUAUCAUCAAUCAGCCUUGCCUAUUACAGAAGGAAUGCAAACGUUUGGGGUCCUACUCACUCUCCAACUCCAGUGACAGUGACUCCUUGUUGUAGCUGUAGAAACCUUCCUUCUAGAAAUGGAAAACUGGGAGACAGCCAUCUCCAGAAUGCUUCAGCAUGGCUUCCUGAGUAGAUUAUGUUCUAGACUUCAAUGGGGUUACUCGCACCAUAUCACACAUGCU